ACGUUGGCCGUCUCCUUUUCAUUGAUUGGUCUUUCUGGUGUAUAGUGUGGCAUGUUCUUUGUGUGUGCGGCUACUUUAGUAGUGUAGCACGUGUGGUCAGGCGUAGAGCCUUUAUUUGAUCAGAUUUGUUGUCAGGAUAUCCUUCAAUAUGCAUGCACAAUACUCUUUGCUGGUCUUUAUUUCUUGAUCGUUAGUAAAAGCCUAUCGAUUUUGAGAGAUCUUGAUGUGUACCAUUUUCCACUUUCUGUUUUUAGAGCCUUGCACUAUAUCUCCACCUUUGUAGUAGGCACAUGUUCUUACUUGAGUCACUUUUAAUGAUGUCAGAAUUGAUGGAGAUGGCCUCCUCUUCUGCUAAUGAAUCUAAAUCCUCUCUUAUAUCAUUAGCAUAGUACUUCAAUUGUGACUUGGUGAUGCAGGGACCAAAUCAUUUCAUUUUUUGAUUAUGAUAACUCUAUUGUGGCUUGGUGAUGCAGCCACCAAAUCAUUUCAUUUCCUGAUGAUGGGAAGUCAACUGCAUGUAUUUUGGGAACCACAUGAGAACUAGGUCUUUGCCAACAAAGCAUCCUUUCAUUUUACCUGUAUCGUCGCCAAUGCCAAGAUGAGAUGACACUACUGUUAUUUGUAUAUAUAACCGAGUGUUGUAAAGUUUAAUUAUGUUUUUCUAUUCAAGUCAAUCAUAUUAUAUAGUUGACUUC